UUCGGUUGUUUGCUUGGCUCUUUUGCCUUGCGGGUGGCCGUUUCUCAUAGCGGCUUCGGGGAUGUCUAUCGUAAAGGUGCAUGAGUGGUGUUUGGUUUGAUACGGGUGGUUGGCUCCCUGCUUGAGCAGGCACGACCACGCGUACAUUCCUUUUCGGUUGUGCGACAAGGCUUGUAUUGUCUCGAUCGUAUAUGUGGGUUUCCUGUGCUGCAUACCUGAUCAACGGCAUCGUUUUGAUAAAAAAAAAAAGUACCUUUUUCGUCAGGCAUUGCACCCGCAAUGUCGGAUGAACCAAGCCAGCAUCCUCUUUGAUCCAUAUAGUCGAUGAUCAUUCAUUGAUUGUUUGGCCAGUUGAGCGGUGGCUCGGUCUCUAGGAUAUGGAAGCCAAAGUGGGCAUGGGUUCGUAUGAUCCUUUUAUUGCCCCCGUUGAGUGUUCUCGCUUCUUUUUUCAUGACCGCCUUUCACGCAUGGCAUGCGCAGCGUGUUUGGCUACGUCGAAGAGGAA
rnacentral:misc_RNA from 1 species